AAAAAGGUGAUAGAUGGUAAUAUAAUUGGCUUGAAACCAGUUAAUGUAGGUUAAAAUCCUACCCUUUUUG
rnacentral:tRNA from 1 species